UGGUUCAAUGAGGAGUGCAGAGCGGUUCUGGAGGAGAUGAUGCAGCGCGGGCGGUAAUGCUGCAGCAUGGAACCCGACAGACUGGCUUAUUCUGCUCGGCGUGCGACGUAACAAAAGUCGUGUCGCAUGUGUCACCCGAUUCCCGUAGGCGGAUGCGGUGACAAGAGUCGGUGUGGGUGAACACCGAUGAACUCUCACUGCAUUCCCACAGUCGCUUCAGAUCGACAAAUGUCGCAUUCAAGUGACGUUUUGAUGUGAGGAUUGUCGUGACCUCGGGAGGAGUCGACUGCGAAGGAAAAACAUCAAAUUGGAGAAUGUGAUUGACCAAAAUAUGCAAAAAGGGACCUAUUUCUCAAGCUACCGCCGAGCAGUUGAAAAUCUCAACAGUUACCAUGAUUCUCCGGCGCAUGUUUCCGGCUUGAUUUCGGUGCAGAAGACGACCUUCUAUAUGCUUCUUGUGUGGCAAAGUGGCAUUGGAAAAUAUCGGGUACCUAGAGUGCAAAUUGUCGUCGCGGUUAAAACCGAAGUUUCCCCGCACGCGAAAAUUGUUUUUUUCUCCCAAACCGUGCGUCAGGCAAAGUGCGCUGGAUAGAGGGCCAAAUCCGCUGCCCCGCGCACUGGCACUACGUGCGACGUUAGGUUUCACGUAUGGAUUUGAAGAAAACUCGAUUGUCGCGUGUGAGGAACUUAGGUUUCAACCGCGACGACAAUUUGCACUCUACCCGAUAUUUUUCAAUGCCACUUGCCACACCAGAAGCAUAGAAGGUCGUCUUCCACCGAAACCAAUCCGGAAACAUGCGCCGGAGAAUCAUGGUAACUAUCAAGGCCAUUUUGAACUCACUGGCAGUUUUUGAAAAGAACAUCUGCUUUUAUGGAAAUUGAAAAGCUGCACCUCGAUUACCCUGGAUUAUUUUGUGCUUCAUAUAGAGUAUUCCCUUCACCAUAACCGCCCACCCGGAUCUAAACAUUUUCAGAAAAAAAAUGAUAUCCCUUAAAACAUUUUCUUCGAAAAUUGGAUAUGCUGUUAUAAUAAAUAUAAACAUGAAAUGAAAUACAUAUACAAAUUGAGGUUAUUUCAGUUUAAUGAGAAGCAACUUAGCGUCAUA